rnacentral:rRNA from 1 species
AUUGAACGCUGGCGGCAGGCUUAACACAUGCAAGUCGAGCGGGGAAGGGUAGCUUGCUACCUGACCUAGCGGCGGACGGGUGAGUAAUGCUUAGGAAUCUGCCUAUUAGUGGGGGACAACAUUCCGAAAGGAAUGCUAAUACCGCAUACGCCCUACGGGGGAAAGCAGGGGAUCUUCGGACCUUGCGCUAAUAGAUGAGCCUAAGUCAGAUUAGCUAGUUGGUGGGGUAAAGGCCUACCAAGGCGACGAUCUGUAGCGGGUCUGAGAGGAUGAGCCGCCACACUGGGACGGAGACACGGCCCAGACUCCUACGGGAGGCAGCAGUGGGGAAUAUUGGACAAUGGGCGGAAGCCUGAUCCAGCCAUGCCGCGUGUGUGAAGAAGGCCUUUUGGUUGUAAAGCACUUUAAGCGAGGAGGAGGCUACUGGUACUAAUACUACUGGAUAGUGGACGUUACUCGCAGAAUAAGCACCGGCUAACUCUGUGCCAGCCGCCGCAGUAACAC